rnacentral:rRNA from 1 species
GACAGAGGUCCCGAGCGUUAGGCGGAAUCACUGGGCUUAAAGCGUGUGUAGGCGGAUCGUUAAGUGCCUUGUGAAAUCCCACGGCUUAACCGUGGAACUGCUUGGCAUACUGGCGGUCUUGAGCCACUUAGGGGCAACCGGAACAAAUGGUGGAGCGGUGAAAUGCGUAGAUAUUGGGAAGAACAUCAGUGGCGAAGGCAGUCCCCUGGGCCUGUACUGACGCUCAUGCACGAAAGCGUGGGGAGCAAACAGG